GGGGGGGGCGGGGGGGGGGGCUGGGGGGGGGGAGUGGGGCGGAGGGGGGGGGGGCUGGCUCCUCGGGCGGGAGCGGGGGGCGGGUGAGUGACACGUGGAUAGCCUGCCGAUAAGACGGGGAUGACGGCGGGAAACCGGAGCUAAUACCGGAUAAUAUAUUGAACCGCAUGGUUCAAUAGUGAAAGACGGUUUUGCUGGCCCGUCUGGAUGGAUCCGCGCCUCAUUAGCUAGUUGGUAAGGUAACGGCUUACCAAGGCACCUAUUCGUAGCCGACCGGAGAGGUUGAUCGGCCACACUGGAACUGAGACACGGUCCAGACUCCUACGGGAGGCAGCAGUAGGGAAUCUUCCGCAAAGGGCGAACGCUUGACGGAGCAACGCCGCGUGAGUGAUGAAGGUCUUCGGAUCGUAAAACUCUGUUAUUAGGGAAGAACAAAUGUGUAAGUAACUAUGCACGUCUUGCCGGUACCUAAUCAGAAAGCCACGGCUAACUACGUG
rnacentral:rRNA from 1 species